GAGUUUGAUCCUGGCUCAGAUUGAACGCUGGCGGCAUGCCUUACACAUGCAAGUCGAACGGCAGCACGGGUGCUUGCACCUGGUGGCGAGUGGCGAACGGGUGAGUAAUACAUCGGAACAUGUCCUGUAGUGGGGGAUAGCCCGGCGAAAGCCGGAUUAAUACCGCAUACGAUCUACGGAUGAAAGCGGGGGACCUUCGGGCCUCGCGCUAUAGGGUUGGCCGAUGGCUGAUUAGCUAGUUGGUGGGGUAAAGGCCUACCAAGGCGACGAUCAGUAGCUGGUCUGAGAGGACGACCAGCCACACUGGGACUGAGACACGGCCCAGACUCCUACGGGAGGCAGCAGUGGGGAAUUUUGGACAAUGGGCGAAAGCCUGAUCCAGCAAUGCCGCGUGUGUGAAGAAGGCCUUCGGGUUGCAAAGCACUUUUGUCCGGAAAGAAAUCCUUGGCUCUAAUACAGUCGGGGGAUGACGGUACCGGAAGAAUAAGCACCGGCUAACUACGUGCCAGCAGCCGCGGUAAUACGUAGGGUGCGAGCGUUAAUCGGAAUUACUGGGCGUAAAGCGUGCGCAGGCGGUUUGCUAAGACCGAUGUGAAAUCCCCGGGCUCAACCUGGGAACUGCAUUGGUGACUGGCAGGCUAGAGUAUGGCAGAGGGGGGUAGAAUUCCACGUGUAGCAGUGAAAUGCGUAGAGAUGUGGAGGAAUACCGAUGGCGAAGGCAGCCCCCUGGGCCAAUACUGACGCUCAUGCACGAAAGCGUGGGGAGCAAACAGGAUUAGAUACCCUGGUAGUCCACGCCCUAAACGAUGUCAACUAGUUGUUGGGGAUUCAUUUCCUUAGUAACGUAGCUAACGCGUGAAGUUGACCGCCUGGGGAGUACGGUCGCAAGAUUAAAACUCAAAGGAAUUGACGGGGACCCGCACAAGCGGUGGAUGAUGUGGAUUAAUUCGAUGCAACGCGAAAAACCUUACCUACCCUUGACAUGGUCGGAAUCCUGCUGAGAGGCGGGAGUGCUCGAAAGAGAACCGGCGCACAGGUGCUGCAUGGCUGUCGUCAGCUCGUGCCGUGAGAUGUUGGGUUAAGUCCCGCAACGAGCGCAACCCUUGUCCUUAGUUGCUACGCAAGAGCACUCUAAGGAGACUGCCGGUGACAAACCGGAGGAAGGUGGGGAUGACGUCAAGUCCUCAUGGCCCUUAUGGGUAGGGCUUCACACGUCAUACAAUGGUCGGAACAGAGGGUUGCCAACCCGCGAGGGGGAGCUAAUCCCAGAAAACCGAUCGUAGUCCGGAUUGCACUCUGCAACUCGAGUGCAUGAAGCUGGAAUCGCUAGUAAUCGCGGAUCAGCAUGCCGCGGUGAAUACGUUCCCGGGUCUUGUACACACCGCCCGUCACACCAUGGGAGUGGGUUUUACCAGAAGUGGCUAGUCUAACCGCAAGGAGGACGGUCACCACGGUAGGAUUCAUGACUGGGGUGAAGUCGUAACAAGGUA
rnacentral:rRNA from 1 species